GACGAACGCUGGCGGCGUGCUUAACACAUGCAAGUCGAACGGAAAGGCCCUGCUUUCAGGGUACUCGAGUGGCGAACGGGUGAGUAACACGUGUGUGAUCUGCCCUGCACUUCGGGAUAAGCCUGGGAAACUGGGUCUAAUACCGGAUAGGAGCCAUUUUUAGUGUGAUGGUUGGAAAGUUUUUUCGGUGUAGGAUGAGCUCGCGGCCUAUCAGCUUGUUGGUGGGGUAAUGGCCUACCAAGGCGGCGACGGGUAGCCGGCCUGAGAGGGUGGACGGCCACAUUGGGACUGAGAGAAGGCCCAGACGCCGAAGGGAGGGAGCAGUGGGGAAUAUUGAAAAAUGGGCGCAAGCCUGAUGCAGCGAAGCCGCGUGGGGGAUGACGGACUUAGGGUUGUAAACAACUUUCGCAAGGGAAGAAGCAUUUUGUGACGGUACCUAGAUAAGAAGCACCGGCUAACUACGUG
rnacentral:rRNA from 1 species